GAUGAACGCUGGCGGCGUGCCUAAUACAUGCAAGUCGAGCGAACUUUUGGGAGCUUGCUCCCAUACGUUAGUGGCGGACGGGUGAGUAACACGUGGGUAACCUGCCUGUAAGAUUGGGAUAACUUCAGGAAACUGGGGCUAAUACCGGAUAACAUUGACGACUACAUGGUGUUCAAUUAAAAGGUGGCUUUUAGCUAGCACUUACAGAUGGACCUGAGGCGCAUUAGGUAGUUGGUGAGGUAACGGAGCACCAAGGCGACGAUGCGUAGCAGACCUGAGAGGAUGGGCGGCCGCCCUGGGAGUGUGACAGGCCCCAUACGCCUUCGGGAGGCGGCAGUAGGGAAUCUGCCGCAAGGGGCGAAAGUUUGACGGAGCUACGCCGCAGGAUGGAAGAAGGCCGUCGGGUCGUAAAUCUCGGUUGUUAGGGAAUAACAAGCAUCGUUCGAAGACGGCGGUACCUUGACGGUACCUAAUCAGAAAGCCACGGCUAACUACGUG
rnacentral:rRNA from 1 species